GCAGUUGUGAGAUUCCCUUUGAAUAUUGCAGCAGCGAGUUGACGGUUGCCAAGGGAACAGGCUCAUAGGAGGAAUGGACUUGCCUUGUCUCAGCUCGAAUUCUCUCUCCUGCCACCCUGAGAAGAGGUGCCUUCCACCAUGAUUGUAAGUUUCCUGAGGCCUUGGAACUGCACUCCCUCCAAGACAGACUUCUCUGUGGAAGCAGCAUAUUGGAGGCCUGCUAGGACAGUUCACAGGAAUGGCUGUGGAGGGCUGCAGGCAUGUCUCUAAUCAGAACCUGCUUGUCUUUUUGAUUGACAGCUGCACUUUCUCCACCAAGAAGUGGGUACUGUGCAAGUUAUGGUCAUAGUGAAGGUGGGGGACAUGGAGAUGAUCCCGAAUGAGCUGCAUAGGCCUCAUCGAAUCAGUGGAAAGCCUUGAGAACAGAGCCAAAGUUUCUCUGAGGAAGGGGAAAUUCUACCUGUAGACAGCAGCUUCAGUUCCUGCUGCAGUUUCCAGCCUGCCCUUCCUGAUGUCCUUCCCUGUGGAUUCCAGAUUUGCCAGCCAGUCCUCAUAGCCACAUAAGCCAAUUGCUUGUAAUAAAUCUCCUAGUGUUAAUGAUCCUUUAAUAAUAUACAUAUAAAUAAUAUAUCCUAGUAUUAAUAAAUCAAUCUCCCUCUCUCCA
ensembl:lncRNA LINC02016 long intergenic non-protein coding RNA 2016